ACUAUAGGGGAACAGAGGAACUAUAGGGGAGCAGGUUAACUAUAGGGGAACAGAGGAACUAUAGGGGAACAGAGGAACUAUAGGGGAGCAGAGGAACUAUAGGGGAAUAGAGGAACUAUAGGGGAGCAGAUUAACUAUAGGGGAGCAGUUGAACUAUAGGGAGCAGAGGAACUAUAGGGGAGAAGAUGAACUAUAGGGGACUAGAUUAACUAUAGGGGAACAGAGGAACUAUAGGGGAAUAGAGGAACUAUAGGGGAGCAGAUUAACUAUAGGGGAACAGAGGAACUAUAGGGGAGAAGGUUAACUAUAGGGGAACAGAGGUACUAUAGCGGAGCAGAGGAACUAUAGGGGAGCAGAGGAACUAUAGGGGAGCAGAGGAACUAUAGGGAGUAGAGGAACUAUAGGGGAGCAGAGGAACUAUAGGGGAACAGAGGAACUAUAGGGGAACAGAGGAACUAUAGGGGAACAGAGGAACUAUAGGGGAGCAGAUGAACUAUAGGGAGCAGAGAAACAAUAGGGGAACAGAGGAACUAUAGGGGAGCAGAGGAACUAUAGGGGAGCAGAGGAACUAUAGGGGAGCAGAUUAACUAUAGGGGAGCAGAGGAACUAUAGGGGAACAGAGGAACUAUAGGGAGCAGAGAAACAAUAGGGGAGCAGAGGAACUAUAGGGGAACAGAGGAACUAUAGGGGAACAGAGGAACUAUAGGGGACUAGAUGAACUAUAGGGGAACAGAGGAACUAUAGGGGAGCAGAGGAACUAUAGGGGAGCAGAGGAACUAUAGGGGAGCAGAGGAACUAUAAGGGACAGGAUUAACUAUAGGGGAACAGAGGAACUAUAGGGGAGCAGAGGAACUAUAGGGGAGCAGAUUAACUAUAGGGGAACAGAGGAACUAUAGGGGAACAGAGGAACUACAGGGGAGCAGAUUAACUAUAGGGGAACAGAGGAACUAUAGGGGAACAGAGGAACUAUAGGGGAGCAGAGGAACUAUAGGGGAGCAGAGGAACUAUAGGGGAACAGAGGAACUAUAGGGGAACAGAGGAACUAUAGGGGAGCAGAUGAACUAUAGGGGAACAGAUGAACUAUAGGGGACUAGAUGAACUAUAGGGGAGCAGAGGAACUAUAGGGGAGCAAAUUAACUAUAGGGGAAUAGAGGAACUAUAGCGGAGCAGAGGAACUAUAGGGGAACAGAGGAACUAUAGGGGAGCAGAGGAACUAUAGGGGAGCAGAUGAACUAUAGGGGAGCAGAUGAACUAUAGGGGAACAGAGGAACUAUAGGGGAGAAGAGGAACUAUAGGGGAGCAGAGGAACUAUAGGGGAGCAGAGGAACUAUAGGGGACUAGAUUAACUAUAGGGGAACAGAGGAACUAUAGGGGAGCAGAGAGUGAUGGGUUUUCCAGUAGAACAUAGUGAUGUGUUUUCCAGUAGAACAUAGUGAUGGGUUUUCCAGUAGAACAUAGUGAUGGGUUUUCCAGUAGAACAUAGUGAUGGGUUUUCCAGUAGAACAUAGUGAUGGGUUUUUCAGUAGAACAUAGUGAUGUGUUUUCCAGUAGAACAUAGUGAUGGGUUUUCCAGUAGAAUAUAGUGAUGUGUUUUCCAGUAGAACAUAGUGAUGGGUUUUCCAGUAGAACAUAGUGAUGUGUUUUCC
rnacentral:lncRNA from 1 species